AUUGAACGCUGGCGGCAGGCUUAACACAUGCAAGUCGAACGAGUGGCGGACGGGUGAGUAAUGCGUGGGAAUCUAGCAUAUGGAGGGGGAUAAAUACGGGAAACUGUAGCUAAUACCGCGUAACAUAGGAUCAGCACAUGUGUGAUUAGGUAGUUGGAGUGGUAAAGGCUCACCAAGGCGACGAUCUAUAGCUGGUCUGAGAGGAUGAACAGCCACACUGGGACUGAGACACGGCCCAGACUCCUACGGGAGGCAGCAGUGGGGAAUAUUGCGCAAUGGGGGCAACCUGACGCAGCCAUGCCGCGUGAAUGAAGAAGGCCUUCGGGUUGUAAAGUUCUUUCGGUAGCGAGGCGUUAACUACAGAAGAAGCACCGGCUAACUCCGUGCCAGCAGCCGCGGUAAUUC
rnacentral:rRNA from 1 species